rnacentral:rRNA from 1 species
GGGGAAUAUUGCACAAUGGGCGCAAGCCUGAUGCAGCCAUGCCGCGUGUGUGAAGAAGGCCUUCGGGUUGUAAAGCACUUUCAGCGGGGAGGAAGGCGGUGAGGUUAAUAACCUCAGCAAUUGACGUUACUCGCAGAAGAAGCACCGGCUAACUCCGUGCCAGCAGCCGCGGUAAUACGGAGGGUGCAAGCGUUAAUCGGAAUUACUGGGCGUAAAGCGCACGCAGGCGGUCUGUCAAGUCUGAUGUGAAAUCCCCGGGCUCAACCUGGGAACUGCAUCCGAAACUGGCAGGCUAGAGUCUUGUAGAGGGGGGUAGAAUUCCAGGUGUAGCGGUGAAAUGCGUAGAGAUCUGGAGGAAUACCGGUGGCGAAGGCGGCCCCCUGGACAAAGACUGACGCUCAGGUGCGAAAGCGUGGGGAGCAAAC